rnacentral:rRNA from 1 species
UGGGGAAUAUUGGACAAUGGGCGCAAGCCUGAUCCAGCCAUGCCGCGUGUGUGAAGAAGGCCUUAUGGUUGUAAAGCACUUUAAGCGAGGAGGAGGCUACUUUAGAUAAUACCUAGAGAUAGUGGACGUUACUCGCAGAAUAAGCACCGGCUAACUCUGUCGCCAG